UAAUUGAUGAAGUUUGACUUUGUUUAGUUCUUCUGUCUUGCCUAAUCAUUUCUAGCUCAUUCCUUUUUCUCCCAAGUAUCCGUCAGUGUUUUGAUCAGUCUGUGCUGUUUUACAGCAUAUGUUGUUGAAAAAUUAGUAGAAAAGCUGCAUGAUUGAACCUAUGACUGGGAAAAAUGAAAAUAUGUGCUUAGAGUAAAAUUUGUGAGGAAAUCAGGCUCAAGUACAUUAGUGAGUAGUGUAGCCUGAAGGUCCUGAAUGUUGAAUUUUGGUCGGUAAUGGAAAAUAUGCAGUAUGCCGAGGAGCUCGUGAGGGAGUUCCUUGUCUUUAGGGGGUUUACAAGUGCUCUUCAAUCUUAUGAAAGUGAGCUUAGCACAGAUAUUGGAAAAGGGUUCCAAGUGGACAGGAUUUUAGAUUUAAUCUUUUCAGUUUAUAUACCCAAGUUUGAGGCAGAAAAGUUGGUGGGGCUACUUGGUUUUUUCAAGCAGUGCCUUGCUUCAUCAUCUGACAAUACACUCCUUUCAACUGUGUCAAAAUUGGAGGUUUCCAUCCUUCGUUAUUAUAUGGUACAUGCCAUACAAUCAGGAAGGACAGAUAAAGUUCUGGAGUUUCUUAAAAUACAUGGCAAUGAUCUACUGCAGAGGACUAAAGAUUGGACUCCAUGGUUUGCCCUACCAUACCUAAAGAAUUCAAAGUUUGAUCCCAAUUUUCGCGUUUAUUUUACAAAGGAGUGGUAUGAAGCGCUGCAUGUUUCUGUAAGGAAUUUCUUCAGUGAAGUCUUCAAUGGCACACGCAUUCCUGCCCUGCUAAAGCUCAGUUCAGAGAAGAAUACAGUUAAUCAUCUGAAAAGAGAUAUCAAGCAGUUAAACCUUAAAUUAGCUCAACUUCAGGCUUUAUUGGAGGAAAAGGAAGCUCAUCUUUGCAACUUAAGAAGCCUGGCGAACAGUUCUUCAAGUUUGAUGCACGAAGAGAAUGCUACUUCAUCAAAUGAUGCUCAGGAGACUUGUCCCCCUCCAACUACACAAGUUGGGGAAACACAACUGGCUCGAGAUGGGAUUUUAGCUGGCUCUGACAAGUAUACAGCUUCAAAUGAAGAUUCAAGUUCUUUGUUAACUAGUUGCUCAGGAGACGGUGAAGUUGGUGAUUCUAGUCAUAGUUGUGAAGAUGGUUGCCAAAUGGUGAAUAGCGGAGAAGUCCAUGUACAAGAAGACUUUCCUGAAGUGAAAGUAGAAUUUCAGGAGACAUUUUUGGGCCACACAAGUCCAAUCAGCCGUUGCCGUUUUUCUGCAUCCGGAAACAAUGUAGCAAGUGCUUCUUUGGAUGGUACAGUCAGGAUAUGGACAUAUGACUCAUCCACUCCAGCAUCCAGAAAUGCAACAAUUUACUGUGGGGCAGAGAUUAUGUCACUUGAUUGGGAGUGUAAAUCUGAUCGCCUUCUUCUAAUAGGGACUGCUGAUGCGGGGAUUAAAGCAUGGAACGUUGAUGCAAAGAGAGUUGUGUGUGAUCUCAACACGACCGAUAUGUUCCCUAGGUUCUAUCGUGUGUUGGAUAUCAAAUGCAGUCCUGUUGAAUCUAUUUUCGUCUCUGCAGCAGCAUCUAGAGGGCAUGGUACAAGUUAUGUGGAUGGUUUGGGGUUUGCUUCGCUCACAGUAUGGAAUAUGAGAACUUGGAAGUCAAUGUCAGUCCUUCCUUUGGGUAAGGAUCCUCCUGCAAUCACUUCAAUGUGCUUCAAUCAUAAUGGGAAGAUCUUAGCAGCUGCUGCUACUGAUGGAAUGAUUCACAUGUUUGGGAAGGCAGAGGAAGACCCUUGGAUAGGCUUGUUAGGAGGAGAACCUUGAUUGUCGGGCCUUUCUGCUGUAUCCUUUGUUGGAAGGCGAAGGAAGACCUUGAUCAUCUUCUUUGGGAGUGUCAGUAUGUGCAGGCUGUGUGGAGUUUCUUUUUGCAGGAGUUGGACGUCAGUUUGGCUGGCCAGAGGGCUCUUCGUGGGACAGAGUUCCUCCUCCAUCUGCCUUUCAGAGAGAAAGGCCGUUUUUUAUGGUUGGCGGGGUGUUCAUGUGCUUUGGGAUAUUUGGGGGAAGAGGAAUGAUAGGGUUUUUAGAGGUAGGGUUAGGAACUCUAGUGAGGUCUGGUCACUAGCUAGAUUUCUAGUGUCCUUUGGGCUUCGGUUACAAAGACCUUUUGUAAUUAUUUGCCUGUAAAUAUUUUACUUAGUUGGAACCCCUUCCUUUAGUCGGGGUGUUUUGGAGGGCUUAAUUCUUUUGUUGCCCUUGUAUUGUUAUAUUUUUUCUCAAUGAAAGUUAUUGCUUUUAACCCAAAAGAAAAAAAAAAGGAAGAAAAAAAGAAAGAAAAUAAAAGGGAAGUCCUGCAAUCCUGGAUCUCAACCAUAAAUGAGAUGGUAACAUCUAAGUGGCUUGUGGAACUGAAGGGGGUGGCCGGCUCAUGAUUCUGCCAUUAACUCGAUUCUUUUUGGGACAGAUGAAACUAGCAUCUUUACCUUAGGGUCAGAUGGGAAG